UACGGAGGGUGCAAGCGUUAAUCGGAAUUACUGGGCGUAAAGCGUGCGCAGGCGGUUUGUUAAGUCCGCUGUGAAAUCCCCGAGCUCAACUUGGGAAUUGCAGUGGAUACUGGCAAGCUGGAGUAUGGUAGAGGAAGGUGGAAUUCCCGGUGUAGCAGUGAAAUGCGUAGAUAUCGGGAGGAACACCUGUGGCGAAAGCGGCUCACUGGACCACAACUGACGCUGAUGCACGAAAGCUAGGGGAGCAAACAGG
rnacentral:rRNA from 1 species